UACGUAGGGUGCGAGCGUUGUCCGGAAUUAUUGGGCGUAAAGGGCUCGUAGGCGGUUUGUCGCGUCGGGAGUGAAAACACGGGGCUUAACCCCGUGCCUGCUUCCGAUACGGGCAGACUAGAGGUAUGCAGGGGAGAACGGAAUUCCUGGUGUAGCGGUGAAAUGCGCAGAUAUCAGGAGGAACACCGGUGGCGAAGGCGGGUCUCUGGGCAGUAACUGACGCUGAGGAGCGAAAGCGUGGGGAGCGAACAGG
rnacentral:rRNA from 1 species